GACGUAGGAUGCGAGCGUUGUCCGGAUUUAUUGGGCGUAAAGGGUUCGUAGGUGGUUUGUUAAGUCUGAUGUUAAAGAUCGGGGCUCAACCCCGAGAGUGCAUUGGAUACUGGCAGACUGGAGUACAGUAGAGGCAAGCGGAAUUCCCAGUGUAGCGGUGAAAUGCGUAGAUAUUGGGAAGAACACCAGUGGCGUAAGCGGCUUGCUGGGCUGUAACUGACACUGAGGAACGAAAGCCAGGGUAGCGAAUGGG
rnacentral:rRNA from 1 species